rnacentral:rRNA from 1 species
ACGGGUGAGUAACACGUGGGUAACCUGCCCAUCAGAAGGGGAUAACACUUGGAAACAGGUGCUAAUACCGUAUAACACUAUUUUCCGCAUGGAAGAAAGUUGAAAGGCGCUUUUGCGUCACUGAUGGAUGGACCCGCGGUGCAUUAGCUAGUUGGUGAGGUAACGGCUCACCAAGGCCACGAUGCAUAGCCGACCUGAGAGGGUGAUCGGCCACACUGGGACUGAGACACGGCCCAGACUCCUACGGGAGGCAGCAGUAGGGAAUCUUCGGCAAUGGACGAAAGUCUGACCGAGCAACGCCGCGUGAGUGAAGAAGGUUUUCGGAUCGUAAAACUCUGUUGUUAGAGAAGAACAAGGAUGAGAGUAGAACGUUCAUCCCUUGACGGUAUCUAACCAGAAAGCCACGGCUAACUACGUGCCAGCAGCCGCGGUAAUACGUAGGUGGCAAGCGUUGUCCGGAUUUAUUGGGCGUAAAGCGAGCGCAGGCGGUUUCUUAAGUCUGAUGUGAAAGCCCCCGGCUCAACCGGGGAGGGUCAUUGGAAACUGGGAGACUUGAGUGCAGAAGAGGAGAGUGGAAUUCCAUGUGUAGCGGUGAAAUGCGUAGAUAUAUGGAGGAACACCAGUGGCGAAGGCGGCUCUCUGGUCUGUAACUGACGCUGAGGCUCGAAAGCGUGGGGAGCGAACAGGAUUAGAUACCCUGGUAGUCCACGCCGUAAACGAUGAGUGCUAAGUGUUGGAGGGUUUCCGCCCUUCAGUGCUGCAGCAAACG